rnacentral:rRNA from 1 species
CCUACGGGAGGCAGCAGUGGGGAAUAUUGCACAAUGGGCGGAAGCCUGAUGCAGCGACGCCGCGUGAGGGAUGGAGGCCUUCGGGUUGUAAACCUCUUUCAGCAGGGACGAAGCGUGAGUGACGGUACCUGCAGAAGAAGCACCGGCUAACUACGUGCCAGCAGCCGCGGUAAUACGUAGGGUGCGAGCGUUGUCCGGAAUUACUGGGCGUAAAGAGUUCGUAGGCGGUUUGUCGCGUCGUUUGUGAAAACCCGGGGCUCAACUUCGGGCUUGCAGGCGAUACGGGCAGACUUGAGUGUUUCAGGGGAGACUGGAAUUCCUGGUGUAGCGGUGAAAUGCGCAGAUAUCAGGAGGAACACCGGUGGCGAAGGCGGGUCUCUGGGAAACAACUGACGCUGAGGAACGAAAGCGUGGGUAGCAAACAGGAUUAGAUACCCUGGUAGUCCACGCCGUAAACGGUGGGCGCUAGGUGUGGGUUCCUUCCACGGAAUCUGUGCCGUAGCUAACGCAUUAAGCGCCCCGCCUGGGGAGUACGGCCGCAAGGCUAAAACUCAAAGGAAUUGACGG